AUUGAACGCUGGCGGCAUGCCUUACACAUGCAAAUCGAACGGUAACGGGCCUUCGGGUGCCGACGAGUGGCGAACGGGUGAGUAAUACAUCGGAACGUGCCCGAUCGUGGGGGAUAACGAGGCGAAAGCUUUGCUAAUACCGCAUACGAUCUACGGAUGAAAGCAGGGGACCGCAAGGCCUUGCGCGGACGGGGCGGCCGAUGGCAGAUUAGGUAGUUGGUGGGAUAAAAGCUUACCAAGCCGACGAUCUGUAGCUGGUCUGAGAGGAUGAUCAGCCACACUGGGACUGAGACACGGCCCAGACUCCUACGGGAGGCAGCAGUGGGGAAUUUUGGACAAUGGGCGCAAGCCUGAUCCAGCCAUGCCGCGUGCAGGAUGAAGGCCUUCGGGUUGUAAACUGAUUUUGUACGGAACGAAAAGCCUUCUUUUAAUACAGGAGGGUCAUGACGGUACCGUAAGAAUAAGCACCGGCUAACUACGUG
rnacentral:rRNA from 1 species